rnacentral:lncRNA from 10 species
CCAGGCAGAGAAGGUGCCCGGAGCUCAGAGCGCGCAGAGCCCGGCCGCUGGGCCGCUGCCUGAGCCAGGGAGGCGCAGCGCGAGCUCCCACUUCGUCUUCAUGGAUUCCCAGCCCAGCUGCGUGGUGGUGACUGGGUGAUUGUGAACAUCUGGUGAGAGAAUGGAUGUGAAGGUCUUUUUAGCAACAUUAGAACACUACAAAAAUCACACAUCUGAGGAACACGCUAUGGGAUAGAGACUAGAGAAAGCAGUGGGACAAACUGCUGACCAGCAAAAAAGCCGUAUAAACUUUCUUUUCUGUGUUGAAUCUUCA